rnacentral:rRNA from 1 species
AUGGCUCAGAUUGAACGCUGGCGGCAGGCCUAACACAUGCAAGUCGAGCGGUAGAGAGAAGCUUGCUUCUCUUGAGAGCGGCGGACGGGUGAGUAAUGCCUAGGAAUCUGCCUGGUAGUGGGGGAUAACGUUCGGAAACGGACGCUAAUACCGCAUACGUCCUACGGGAGAAAGCAGGGGACCUUCGGGCCUUGCGCUAUCAGAUGAGCCUAGGUCGGAUUAGCUAGUUGGUGAGGUAAUGGCUCACCAAGGCGACGAUCCGUAACUGGUCUGAGAGGAUGAUCAGUCACACUGGAACUGAGACACGGUCCAGACUCCUACGGGAGGCAGCAGUGGGGAAUAUUGGACAAUGGGCGAAAGCCUGAUCCAGCCAUGCCGCGUGUGUGAAGAAGGUCUUCGGAUUGUAAAGCACUUUAAGUUGGGAGGAAGGGCAGUUACCUAAUACGUGAUUGUUUUGACGUUACCGACAGAAUAAGCACCGGCUAACUCUGUGCCAGCAGCCGCGGUAAUACAGAGGGUGCAAGCGUUAAUCGGAAUUACUGGGCGUAAAGCGCGCGUAGGUGGUUAGUUAAGUUGGAUGUGAAAUCCCCGGGCUCAACCUGGGAACUGCAUUCAAAACUGACUGACUAGAGUAUGGUAGAGGGUGGUGGAAUUUCCUGUGUAGCGGUGAAAUGCGUAGAUAUAGGAAGGAACACCCAGUGGCGAAGGCGACCCCCCCUGGA